rnacentral:rRNA from 1 species
GCUGGCGGCAGGCCUAACACAUGCAAGUCGAACGGAGUUAUAUUGUAGCUUGCUAUGGUAUAACUUAGUGGCAGACGGGUGAGUAAUGUAUAGGAAUCUACCUAGUAGUACGGAAUAAUUGUUGGAAACGGCAACUAAUACCGUAUACGCCCUACGGGGGAAAAAUUUAUUGCUAUUAGAUGAGCCUAUAUUAGAUUAGCUAGUUGGUGGAGUAAUAGCCUACCAAGGCAAUGAUCUAUAGCUGAUCUGAGAGGAUGAUCAGUCACACUGGAACUGAGAUACGGUCCAGACUCCUACGGGAGGCAGCAGUGGGGAAUAUUGGACAAUGGGCGAAAGCCUGAUCCAGCCAUGCCGCAUGAGUGAAGAAGGCCUUUGGGUUGUAAAGCUCUUUUAGUGAGGAAGAUAAUGACGGUACUCACAGAAGAAGUCCUGGCUAACUCCGUGCCAGCAGCCGCGGUAAUACGGAGAGGGCUAGCGUUAUUCGGAAUUAUUGGGCGUAAAGGGCGCGUAGGCGGAUUAGUAAGUUAAAAGUGAAAUCCCAAGGCUCAACCUUGGAACUGCUUUUAAAACUGCUAAUCUAGAGAUUGAAAGAGGAUAGAGGAAUUCCUAGUGUAGAGGUGAAAUUCGUAAAUAUUAGGAGGAACACCAGUGGCGAAGGCGUCUAUCUGGUUCAAAUCUGACGCUGAGGCGCGAAGGCGUGGGGAGCAAACAGGAUUAGAUACCCUGGUAGUCCACGCUGUAAACGAUGAAUGUUAAAUAUGGGAAGUUUUACUUUCUGUAUUACAGCUAACGCGUUAAACAUUCCGCCUGGGGACUACGGUCCCAAGAUUAAACUCAAGGAAAUUGACGGGACCCCCACCAGCGGUGGAACAUGUGGUUUAAUUCGAUGCCACGCCAAAAACCUUCCACUCUUUGACUGGAAA